CAGUCGCCGCGGUAAUACGUAGGUGGCAAGCGUUGUCCGGAAUUGUUGGGCGUAAAGCGCGCGCAGGUGGAUCAGUCAGUCUGUCUUAAAAGUUCGGGGCUUAACCCCGUGAGGGGAUGGAAACUGCUGAUCUAGAGUAUCGGAGAGGAAAGUGGAAUUCCUAGUGUAGCGGUGAAAUGCGUAGAUAUUAGGAAGAACACCAGUGGCGAAGGCGACUUUCUGGACGAAAACUGACGCUGAGGCGCGAAAGCCAGGGGAGCGAACGGGAUUAGAUACCCGUGUAGUCCCUGUCUCUUAUACA
rnacentral:rRNA from 1 species